AUGCUAUGCCUUAAGAGCACGGCCCGCGCACUGACGAGUUGGAGCGCCAGGUCCAAGGGUUGCAUUCGGGACAAGAUGGCCAUCUCCCGCGAGGUCAUAUCGCGUUUUGACAAAGCCCAGGAAGACCGCGCGCUCUCUCCCCCGGAAGAUUGGCUGCGAAAACAGCUCAAUAUCUCAUACUUGGGGUUGGCUUCUCUCGAGCGCACAAUCGCGAGGCAACGAGCGCGGAUCACCACGCUCAAGGACGGUGAUGCUAACACAGCCUUCUCCCACCGGCAAUGUUCAUUCCGUCAACAGAAGAAUCACAUAUUCCGCCUUGUGACCGAUGGACAAGUGAUCACUCAUCAGGAGGGAAUGGCCCAAGCGGCCUUCACGUACUUUGACGAGCUUCUUGGCUCCUCCGCCGCCCGCAACCACACACUGGAUCUAUCGUAUAUCAUCGAGCCCCAUGACUUGACUGACCUCGAGGCACCAUUCAGCCCGGAGGAGAUUUGGGACGCUGUCAAGCGCCUCCCGGCUCGCAAAGCACCGGGGCCGGAUGGAUUCACCGCGGAAUUUUUGCGGGCCUGCUGGAGCAUUAUCAAGCAAGACUUCUUCGACGUCUUCCAGCAGCUCUUUGAGCUACGCGGUCGUGGAUUCAGCAAGCUCAACCAGGCCCUCUUGACAUUACUCCCAAAGCGAACAGACGCGUGCCAACUCCGCGACUACCGGCCA
rnacentral:rRNA from 1 species